CCUACGGGGGGCUGCAGUGGGGAAUAUUGCACAAUGGGCGCAAGCCUGAUGCAGCCAUGCCGCGUGUGUGAAGAAGGCCUUCGGGUUGUAAAGCACUUUCAGCGGGGAGGAAGGCGGUGAGGUUAAUAACCUCAUCGAUUGACGUUACCCGCAGAAGAAGCACCGGCUAACUCCGUGCCAGCAGCCGCGGUAAUACGGAGGGUGCAAGCGUUAAUCGGAAUUACUGGGCGUAAAGCGCACGCAGGCGGUCUGUCAAGUCGGAUGUGAAAUCCCCGGGCUCAACCUGGGAACUGCAUUCGAAACUGGCAGGCUAGAGUCUUGUAGAGGGGGGUAGAAUUCCAGGUGUAGCGGUGAAAUGCGUAGAGAUCUGGAGGAAUACCGGUGGCGAAGGCGGCCCCCUGGACAAAGACUGACGCCCAGGUGCGAAAGCGUGGGGAGCAAACAGGAUUAGAUACCCUUGUAGUC
rnacentral:rRNA from 1 species